ACAGUCACACAUUAGAUACCCGCGUAGUCCCAGCCGUAAACUAUGCGCGUUAGGUGUAUCGGUGACCACGAGUUACCGAGGUGCCGAAGGGAAACCGUGAAACGUGCCGCCUGGGAAGUACGGUCGCAAGGCUGAAACUUAAAGGAAUUGGCGGGGAGCACCACAACGGGUGGAGCCUGCGGUUUAAUUGGACUCAACGCCGGGAAGCUCACCGGAUAAGACAGCGGAAUGAUUGCCGGGCUGAAGACUCUGCAUGACUAGCUG
rnacentral:rRNA from 1 species